UCGAGAUAUCGAAGUUUAACUGUAUUUGGUAGAACUAAGAUAAUGAUAUUGUUAUAUAGAGUAAUAGUACUGCGGUAAUCAAUAUUUUACAAUGUCAUUCAGAGCUCAGUAUUAUUUACAAGUAUAUGUGUAUUUCGGUCAAGGAGUAUAAAAUGUCUGAUAUUAGUAUGAAGAAAUAUAUCUUCAAUUUACUUAUUCAAAAGAUAUGUACCAUAGUGUGUUCACAGAAAAUGUUUAACCAGUAGGUAUAAGAAAUCAAAUUAUACAGUGCAAAGAUAUUUAUGUAUUUAUCUCACAUUCCAGUUUUUAUUGUUUUUUGGUUUUGGGGCUGUUUUUAUGCAUUAUUGAACAGGGUCUUAAACUUUCAUCAGCUAAGGAAACUGUGCUUCACCAUACAAGUUUCAUUAAAAGUUAAACCCAUAACUAAUGAAAGGUACGAUAUUGUAGUGAAUUUCUAUGCCUCUUGUGAUAAUUAUUUGAUAGGUAAAAAUAGCUACAUUUAAUUAGUUUAUGUUGAGGUGUUAUGAUCUUGCUCUAUCCCCCUUGUGGACCAUUUUUUCUGUGUACAGAAAGUAAGGGUUCUUGGUACUCUCUGAAGUUCGUUUUGAUUAGGUGUGCCUAAAGUUGUCCAAAUAGUUAUAUAACAUGUAGAAUUCAACAUUCAAGACUAAACGAUAAACUGAGAAUCAACUCAAAAUUCAAAAUUUACACAUGUACAUAGAAUUCCACUUUUAAGUAUAAGUGGGAUUUUUGGAUCAUUUAGUUUGAGUGCAAAGUCCAUGUAAAGAUCAAAUCAAAACAAUAAAAUUCAUGUACAUGGCUAACAUUGUUGAUUUUUGUUUGAGACCCAUGCAUUUAUUAACCUGUUUAUAUAAAUUUACAGAGGUUUUUUUAUUCAAUAUUAAAAAAUUAUAUGAUCUCAUUCAUUUGUAUACUUUGUACAUUCCAAAGCAUUUUUUAAAUAUUAUUUUUAUUAUUCUAAAAAAAAAAUAUUUGUGACCAGUGAUAUAUUAUCAAUAUUAAAACUGACACAC
rnacentral:misc_RNA from 1 species